UGUCAUGUCUUUUUAUAAUCAGCCUAAAUAAAGACGUGGAAAGACGUCUUUUAAAAAGACGUCUUCAUAAAAGAGGUCGAAAAGACGUCAAUCGGUUGUUAAUAAGUAAAUCAUUAUUUGCUUAAGAAAAUUAAAAAUAAUUAUUGCCAAUAGAACCUAACAAAGAUGGGUUUUAACCCACAGUAUCGUAAUUACGAUAUCUUUGUUACGUUCUGAUUGGCCCGUUUUUUGUUUACAAAAUACUUUUAUAUAACUUUUUUUUAUGUGAAACGUUUUUGCAUAGGAAAUUUAAUUAAAAAUUAACUUUUUUUCGAACUGUUUCAAAACUUUUGGUUUGAAUACAAAAGACCAAGUGAAAAUGAUACUGGAAAGACUGUUUAUCGUUUGACUCCUGUCCCAAUCCUACCUAGUUGGUUCAAAAAGAAAGGACCGCGUUGAAAACAUAAAGGGGUUAAAAGGAUCAGCCCUUUUUGAAUUAAUAGUCGAUGUCGUAACCAGCUUAAAGUCGUAACCAGCUUGUAUAAAAGGAUUUCUCGACGUGAAAUAGUUAAUUUUAUUCAACAACUCCAAGAAACAGAGCUCGCUCAAGAAUCAGAGCUCGCUCAAAAAACAGAAAAGAAAGAAAGAGAAAGAUGAAAAAAUAUUCUGUUGAACAA